rnacentral:rRNA from 1 species
GCAGUCGAACGGUGAAGCAGAGCUUGCUCUGUGGAUCAGUGGCGAACGGGUGAGUAACACGUGAGCAAUCUGCCCCUGACUCUGGGAUAAGCGCUGGAAACGGCGUCUAAUACCGGAUACGAGCUGCGACCGCAUGGUCAGUAGCUGGAAAGAAUUUCGGUCAGGGAUGAGCUCGCGGCCUAUCAGCUUGUUGGUGAGGUAAUGGCUCACCAAGGCGUCGACGGGUAGCCGGCCUGAGAGGGUGACCGGCCACACUGGGACUGAGACACGGCCCAGACUCCUACGGGAGGCAGCAGUGGGGAAUAUUGCACAAUGGGCGAAAGCCUGAUGCAGCAACGCCGCGUGAGGGAUGACGGCCUUCGGGUUGUAAACCUCUUUUAGCAGGGAAGAAGCGAAAGUGACGGUACCUGCAGAAAAAGCGCCGGCUAACUACGUGCCAGCAGCCGCGGUAAUACGUAGGGCGCAAGCGUUAUCCGGAAUUAUUGGGCGUAAAGAGCUCGUAGGCGGUCUGUCGCGUCUGCUGUGAAAACCCGAGGCUCAACCUCGGGCCUGCAGUGGGUACGGGCAGACUAGAGUGCGGUAGGGGAGAUUGGAAUUCCUGGUGUAGCGGUGGAAUGCGCAGAUAUCAGGAGGAACACCGAUGGCGAAGGCAGAUCUCUGGGCCGUAACUGACGCUGAGGAGCGAAAGGGUGGGGAGCAAACAGGCUUAGAUACCCUGGUAGUCCACCCCGUAAACGUUGGGAACUAGUUGUGGGGUCCAUUCCACGGAUUCCGUGACGCAGCUAACGCAUUAAGUUCCCCGCCUGGGGAGUACGGCCGCAAGGCUAAAACUCAAAGGAAUUGACGGGGACCCGCACAAGCGGCGGAGCAUGCGGAUUAAUUCGAUGCAACGCGAAGAACCUUACCAAGGCUUGACAUAUAGAGGAAACGUCUGGAAACAGUCGCCCCGCAAGGUCUCUAUACAGGUGGUGCAUGGUUGUCGUCAGCUCGUGUCGUGAGAUGUUGGGUUAAGUCCCGCAACGAGCGCAACCCUCGUUCUAUGUUGCCAGCACGUAAUGGUGGGAACUCAUGGGAUACUGCCGGGGUCAACUCGGAGGAAGGUGGGGAUGACGUCAAAUCAUCAUGCCCCUUAUGUCUUGGGCUUCACGCAUGCUACAAUGGCCGGUACAAAGGGCUGCAAUACCGUGAGGUGGAGCGAAUCCCAAAAAGCCGGUCCCAGUUCGGAUUGAGGUCUGCAACUCGACCUCAUGAAGUCGGAGUCGCUAGUAAUCGCAGAUCAGCAAC